GAUGAACGCUGGCGGCGUGCCUAAUACAUGCAAGUCGAGCGAACAGAUGAGAAGCUUGCUUCUCUGAUGUUAGCGGCGGACGGGUGAGUAACACGUGGGUAACCUACCUAUAAGACUGGGAUAACUCCGGGAAACCGGGGCUAAUACCUGAUAAUAUUUUGAACCGCAUGGUUCAAUAGUGAAAGGCGGCUUCGGCUGUCACUUAUAGAUGGACCCGCGCCGUAUUAGCUAGUUGGUAAGGUAAUGGCUUACCAAGGCGACGAUACGUAGCCGACCUGAGAGGGUGAUCGGCCACACUGGAACUGCGACACGGUCCAGACUCCUACGGGAGGCAGCAGUAGGGAAUCUUCCGCAAUGGGCGAAAGCCUGACGGAGCAACGCCGCGUGAGUGAUGAAGGUUUUCGGAUCGUAAAACUCUGUUGUUAGGGAAGAACAAAUUUGUUAGUAACUGAACAAGUCUUGACGGUACCUAACCAGAAAGCCACGGCUAACUACGUGCCAGCAGCCGCGGUAA
rnacentral:rRNA from 1 species